AAACAAUCUUGGAAAAUAAUUACAUAAAAAAAGAUUAAAUAUAAAAUAAUUUAUAGAAUAUUAUUGCUUGGUAACUGAACAUCAUCACAACACACAUCUGAAUCUUAUUGUUCAGCUUUUUUGUUUGUUUGUUUUAUUAACAUACAAUUGCAGGAAAAGUGUUGAUAACUGUUCUGAUAAUUAGUUGUUGUAUUGUGUACCCAAUCACACACUAUCUAUAUAUAGAGGUGAUAUUAAUAUAUUUAUAGUACCAUGAUAAGCAGACAUGAUAAUUAUGAAAAAUACAAGGACCAUUCACAGUCAGUUAUACUUGAUUUAAGUGUCUAUCUUGUUGUAGGCUAUAAAUAUAAUGAAUGAUACUUAAACAUAAAUACAAGUGAUUCAGUUUUUUUCAAUAAAUUAUUUUGUCAAACAUUUUUUUUUAAAUUCCGUACACCUGGGAGUUUUUGUCUUAUGUUAAUGUGCUUUGGUGCUUUCGAGUUCGCUCAUGGAUUCACUCAUGCUAUUUCGUAUUUCCUGUACGUUUGUCCUCUAAGGUGAAUGAUGUCAUUUCACUGAGUAAAUGUUCUGGGUUGCAUUGCAUUGACUGAUAAUAAUAUUUGUUCAUCACCUGAUCUAACCUGAUUUUGAGUUCCUACGUUCCUCCUUAUUGCAUUAUGAAAAGUGAUGUAUAAAUAUGUAUGUAAUCAUUUUUCGAAGAACUUACGUUAACACAGGAAUCUGUCCCAAUCCAUCUAACCUUUGUCACACUGCUUUGGAGUUUAAUGAACAACAUAUGAUGAAGUGUUUAGCAAACUGGGAAUUCAGUGAAACAAACAGAGCCCUUCUUUAAGUCUUUCAGGGUUUCUCAUGUUCAGACUGACUGCCUUAGUCAGCCUCAAACAGGCUGAAUAGCAGAGAAAGUGGCAGGGUGAUUAAGCUUGUGGUUAAAAAGUGAUGUGGGAAAGGAAACAGACUGGGCCAUCACAAACACAGUGAAGCAGCAUCUAUCUGGCCAGAUUCAUCUAAAAACAUCACAGUUUCAGUCAGUCCCUCUGGUCCAGUACCAGAGAACAGAUGGAGACCAGGAGAAUUUUAUUGGGACUGGAACCAGUUUAAAUAUUAACUUCUCCAGAGACAGGCGAAAAUAAGGCUCAAAAAGAGAUCGGGGUUGGACAUUCUAACCUGACUCACCUUGAUGUUCAGUGUUGUGAAACACAUUGUGGAUUUUACAGUGGAGUCCUUCCUUGGGUCCUUGCUGGUGUGUUUUUCAGUGUCAGUGUGAUCUGUGCAGCUUUCCUUUGGAAAGUACGAAAGAAUGUGAAGCCACAAGAAGAGGACAGAACUUACAUGUCACUGAAUCAUAGAAAUGUCGGCUCUUCAGAGUAUGAUGUCAUUAACACAGCUCCAAGGUGACCUUCACUGAUUCUUCAGGAUCUAUCUAAUUUUGUUUUACUUUGUGUUUCUAAAUAAAUAAUUAUCAGUCACACUUCUCUUUAUUAAAAUGCAUUUAAUAGCCACUGAGCACUUAUAUAUCAGUUUCUUAAAGGGUGCUGGAGUUGCUCAGUUUAGUGGGAUUGCACAAAACCUGUAGAAAAUUCUUCCUAGAGUUUUGAUACUGACUAUAAUCCUGUUUUCUGAUAAUGUAAAAGGUUAUAGUGUUUUUCUUUGUUUUGUUUUUUGCAUUCGAUGUGAAAAAGCGGGGGCAGGGACAUGUUUACCACUAGGUCACGUAAGCUUUUAACAGCACUGUUCAAGAAAUAGAGACAUUAAUGAUCUACACAGCUGCUCUUUUCUAUGUUUAAGAGAAAGACCUUGAAUAGUUAAGAUGCCUUGUGAGACCUGCCACAUAUUAGUGUCCUGUACAUUUGCUCUUUUUUCAGUAUUUAUGCUUCUCACAUAUGAUUGCUUCAUUAUUUUCUCCUCAACCAAGUUUAUUGCACUACACCUGAGUGCCAUUCAUGCACAGCUGAACCUUGUACCACCAAUAUUACCACAACAAAUUGAACAAAUUGAACUCAACAGUUCAAUUUUUUAUUUUAUACCAUGUUAAGUGUUUCCCAUAGGUAACCACGCAUAGUAGUAUGUUUAGUAAAUGCAUUAAUUAAUUAUAUAUAUCGACAGAAUAAAAGAGGAAAUAAAACUUUUAGCUGGUGUGUGUUUGUCUGUGAAUUCAACUGAAAAAGUUCUUAUUUCCCCUUGUAGAUAUUGUAAUGCCUGAAUUCGUCAGAGUGCAUUAAACAGUUCUUGAUAUGGACACUAGUUGCUGUCACAUUGUCUCUUUUGCAACUAAGGUUUCA